rnacentral:hammerhead_ribozyme from 1 species
AUCUAUCUGACUCGUCCCAAAUAGAACGAAACGUACUUUCUGGAU